rnacentral:snoRNA from 1 species
UAUUAUGAUGUUACUUAAUUUAUCACGACGGUCUACGUAGUGUAUACCUUGACGAGAAUUGCCUGUGACAAGGCGCUAUUGCUGAUU